rnacentral:rRNA from 1 species
CACGAAGUGAGUGGCGGACGGGUGAGUAACACGUGGGUAACCUGCCCAGAAGCAGGGGAUAACACCUGGAAACAGAUGCUAAUACCGUAUAACAGAGAAAACCGCCUGGUUUUCUUUUAAAAGAUGGCUCUGCUAUCACUUCUGGAUGGACCCGCGGCGCAUUAGCUAGUUGGUGAGGUAACGGCUCACCAAGGCGAUGAUGCGUAGCCGACCUGAGAGGGUAAUCGGCCACAUUGGGACUGAGACACGGCCCAGACUCCUACGGGAGGCAGCAGUAGGGAAUCUUCCACAAUGGACGCAAGUCUGAUGGAGCAACGCCGCGUGAGUG